GUAGUAGAGCAUGACUGAGACACAGG
rnacentral:piRNA from 1 species